UCUGUGUAAUUUUUUGAACAAGUGAACGUACAAUCUUUGAAUUACUAUAAUCAAUGUAUUUAAUAGUGAUAGCUGCAGUACGUACCAAAAAUGAAGCGAUCGAGACUCUUGUUUGGUAGGAAUUCAUAAACAAGAAGGCUUUCAGAAAUCUGCUGCUCUAUGUCUGUUAUCAAAGAAGAAUCUCUUGACAGCAAUCUCUCUUCCAUCGGAUAGGGUACCCUGUGAGGAAUGAGAAUGAAAAAUGAACGGAUUGUUUUCGGUUAAAAUUGAAGAUUGUAGGUCCUGCUCAGAUAGAGAGGAAGAAUAACUACCUUAUAAACAGAGCCAAACCCCCCCUGUCCAAUCUUGUUAUCUAGGCUGAAAUUGUUUGUUGCUUUUUCAAGGGUUGAGUACUUGAAUUCCAAGUUACUAUCUUGAAGAGUUUUUGCCAACUUCUUCACAUCAGUUGAACCUCCUGAAGUGUAAAUUAUAUCAUUUUAAGAGAAGAAUGUCAAUAAAUCUCCCUCGAAGAGUUCCUCACCAUGAAA